rnacentral:rRNA from 1 species
UACGUAGGUGGCAAGCGUUGUCCGGAUUUACUGGGCGUAAAGAGCGCGCAGGCGGUCGUUCAAGUCGCGUGUGAAAGCCCCCGGCUCAACUGGGGAGGGUCACGCGAUACUGAUCGACUCGAAGGCAGGAGAGGGUAGUGGAAUUCCCGGUGUAGUGGUGCAAUGCGUAGAUAUCGGGAGGAACACCAGUGGCGAAGGCGACUACCUGGCCUGUUCUUGACGCUGAGGCGCGAAAGCUAGGGGAGCAAACAGG